UGCCUUGUCAUGAUCCUAGAGGGAGAGGUUUUUCCUCUGGCUUUGUGGCUUGGUCUUGCCUGAGGAACAUGGAACUGAGAAUAACAUAUGUGAAUGCAUUUGGACAGAACAAGAUAGCUGGCCACCUUGCCUGACUCUCUUAUGAAACAGGUUCCCUUCUAUUGGUCACAAUCAACAGUAAUCAUGAUCUCCCAUAUUCCUCGGAGCUGCUGAAGUCACUCUGCAAAUCUUGUUGACUAAUUUGGAACCAAAAGAGAAUGCAGUGAUCUACCCAACCUAGAAACCUGUUCUGUAGAUUUCCCUUAAAAACACCAUUGAAAAUGAAAAGAAAGAAAAAAAAAA